rnacentral:rRNA from 1 species
GUGGGGAAUUUUGGACAAUGGGCGCAAGCCUGAUCCAGCAAUGCCGCGUGCAGGAUGAAGGCCUUCGGGUUGUAAACUGCUUUUGUACGGAACGAAAAGACUCCUUCUAAUAAAGGGGGUCCAUGACGGUACCGUAAGAAUAAGCACCGGCUAACUACGUGCCAGCAGCCGCGGUAAUACGUAGGGUGCAAGCGUUAAUCGGAAUUACUGGGCGUAAAGCGUGCGCAGGCGGUUUUGUAAGACAGGCGUGAAAUCCCCGGGCUCAACCUGGGAACUGCAUUUGUGACUGUAUAGCUAGAGUACGGUAGAGGGGGAUGGAAUUCCGCGUGUAGCAGUGAAAUGCGUAGAUAUGCGGAGGAACACCGAUGGCGAAGGCAAUCCCCUGGACCUGUACUGACGCUCAUGCACGAAAGCGUGGGGAGCAAACAGGAUUAGAUACCCUUGUAGUCC